rnacentral:rRNA from 1 species
CAGUCGCCGCGGUAAAACGGAGGGGGCUAGCGUUGUUCGGAAUUACUGGGCGUAAAGCGCACGUAGGCGGAUCAGAAAGUCAGGGGCGAAAUCCCAGGGCUCAACCUUGGAACUGCCUUUGAAACUCCUGGUCUUGAGGUCGAGAGAGGUGAGUGGAAUUCCGAGUGUAGAGGUGAAAUUCGUAGAUAUUCGGAGGAACACCAGUGGCGAAGGCGGCUCACUGGCUCGAUACUGACGCUGAGGUGCGAAAGCGUGGGGAGCAAACAGGAUUAGAUACCCCGGUAGUCCCUGUCUCUUAUAC